GAGAAAGUUUUUUGAAAAUUAAUAAUUUUUGGCUUAGAGUCCAAAUAAAUGAAACUCAUGUUCCUCAGCAUUACCAGAUGUCUUUUUGAAUCACUCCUUGAAGGCAAUGGAGUUUAAUGUGAUUGUUUAGGCCUGUUGAUAAUAAAACACAUGCAUACUUUCUUUUUCAAAUUCACAAACUAAUUAAACUUCAUUGAUGUUAGUCAGUUAAAAUUUAGAUUUGAUAAUUCAUUGUCCAAGCUUCUACUACUUUCAAAACAUUCAUGCAUUGAGAACACUAAAACAAAGCAAAAAUCCCCCAAAUUUCUUGGGAUGAAUGACUAUCACCAUUUUUCAUGUUAUUCAUAAAACAAACCCAGCAGAUACCAAAUAUGCACUACCUAUAUUUCAAAUUUGGUAGAGAUUAAUUGUGACAUAAGGAAAUAACAAACUUAACCUUAAAAGAAUACUUAAGUGACAAAACUCAAGAACACUCAGAUCUAAACCCGGUGAAACUUUCCUUAAUUCUAUUUAUCUAUAAACAAUUUACAGAUUAGCUAACAAUGCAAUUUACAAUGCUUUUAAUUUUUCAUUGCCUAAGUAAAAUCCUCUUUUUUUUUGUUUUUUUUUGACCAUUGGAUUUUCACUUCAAAUAUGAUUUGUAUUAUUAUUUCUAUUGUCAUAAAAAUUGUUUCUGAGGGACUUGUAGAGUUCACAUGGCUGUGGUCAAAAGAUUUUGACUCUCUGUAGUCAGUGAAGUAACCAGUGUAUCUUUGGUGUAGACAUGGCUGCUUCUUCAGGCUAUUGUUCAUAGGGUUCUGCAGCUGUGUUGCUGAGCGGGUUGAAGUUUGCAGGUUUUGAGUAAAGCUGACUCUGUUGUAAACUUGCAGUUGCUGUAAUUCACUGAAACUCCUGCUCAGCUGCUGUUGCUGUUUCCAGCAGUGGUUGCCAUGGCAACAGUGUUGUAGUAGCCGGCAUGGGCAGCGGCCCCAGGUGUGGACCCGUCUGCCCCCUGCGCUGGGUUGGGAAUGGAGGGAAGGGACCACGCCUGCCUCUGCCCUGCAGCAGUCAACCUUCACAGUGAGGACUGGAGUCAGCAGGAACUCCCAGAGGCUGCUGUUGCUGGAUGAACAGCAUAAAUAGGUGUAAGCCUAAGAGAUACUUUGUUAUGUUGUUCUCCAGCUGGGUUGUUUUUUUAUUUUAAUGUGUUGCAGAAAAUGUGCCAGUUACCAUGCAAUGCUGAACGGUCAGACAACAGAGUACAGUAACAAGAGGGAGUGAUAAAUAUGUUCACAAGCUUCUUCAUGAAGUAUCAGACACAUAGAGUUGGUGGGUUAUUCAUUUUCCUUUGCUUGAUGUGGAGCUUAUUUUCUAAAUAGCUGGCCACCUCAUUGUAGUGCAACAGAACAUGCAUAUCUGAAUACUGUAG
rnacentral:lncRNA from 1 species